AUCCAACUGACUGGUUCAAAAUAGGACGAAACGUGCGUCAAACUGGAU
rnacentral:hammerhead_ribozyme from 1 species